rnacentral:lncRNA from 1 species
CUGUGCAGCCUGCCAGGCCCUUGUGUGAGUCUAGGACAGAUGAGGAACGCAGGAAUUUAAUUCCAGAUGAUUACCUUCCUCCUUUUGAACGCUGAAUCUUGCAGGAGAGCUGCCAGGGCUCUUCACAAAUCGAAGGCAAUUCAGAUGGUGGGUGGUCUCCUAAUCACCAGGCAAUUAGAUGUGAGGAAGCAUUUCCCCGCAGACGUGCGCAUUUAUUCAGCUGCUUGGUGAGCUCAGCGCCGGCCUCCUCCUGCAUCCCGACAGCGCAGGAAGCCGGGCCUCCGCGUCAGUGCCUGGGAACCGCCUGAGGAUUUCUGGGCGACCAGGAGCCAGGGCCGCCACCGUUCCCGGGACGGGGAAGAGGAGGUUCACAUUUCACUCCUGGAAGGAGAAAAUGGAAAAUGUUCUACCGGGAGGCACGAAUCACUCUGGCACAUGCGGUGGUAGCUGCAGCAGGAACGAAUUCAGCCCAUGACAUUUGAGUAGAUUGCUGGUGAGACAGCAGCCACUGCUCCCAGGCCCGACAACAGGGGCAGCACCAAAGCUGGUCAGUGUUUCCUCCUUACAGGUCUGAAGGUGCUGCAGAGGAGGGUGCUUCCCAGAGAUCACCCCUGUGACAGACAGAUCGAUUGAAGGACCCCUGAAUGGCUGAAUUGAGAAGAACAAGCAUAUUAGGAGGCCAUACAAUGGGAGCCUCUCAGGCAGACAGACAAAGCCGUGGAAACUGCAGACUUAUUUGUAUGUUCUGGUAAACACCUUUGCUUCAUUUUCCCCGUCUCCGCCUGGACUGAGGGUCACCUCACCUCUCCUGGUGUCCAGAGCCUCCUUCAGGACAGAUGUUGCAAACCUGAGUUCUCACAAACAGCGGGGUCCAGCCCUUCUCAACACUGGAAAGCCCUUGAGCCAUCUUUGAUUUGUGUGUUUUGAUCUAAUUGCACUACUGCUUGCAAUGCUUGUUUUUAGCGGUGAGUGCUGGUUUAAUUUGUUUCUUUCUGGUCUCCCAGCCCCACUCCAGAAUUUUGGCUCCUGGAGAGGAGGGGCCCUGAACUGGCAUUUUCAGUGAAGCAUCCCAGUGCCUUGAAUCCAGUAAGCAGCCAGGUGUCUGUUGGCUUCAUGGUUUAACAACCUACCAUUUGAAGAAUCGCAGAGAUGAAUUAAAAAGAGCCCCGGAGAGGCUCCCCGAUCCAGUUGCACUUCCUGCUUAAGCAAAGUAAAGAAAAACAGGAAUGAAAACAUAACCCAAUGGGUUAGUUCCAUGCUGGCCAUUGAUGAGGUUGCAGCCACCAUCAGAAGAAGGCCAAACGGUUAGAAAGACACGGCGGUGAGGAAGAUGAGCCUCAUUAUCGACUGUCACCUGCAGCCCUGCACAGGUGCUCAGAAUCUAACACUUGAUGGCUGGUUGAGAUUCCCGGAGUCCUAAUUAGGAAUGAGGAGUCAGGCUGGCAGGACCCAGGGAAAGCAAAAAGAGAAGGCAGAGAAGCUCCAAGUCUGCCUGUCUUCGUGAUCCAGAACACGUAGUCCUGCUGCACAAGUAACUCACAAUCUUCCUGUGUCCAGCUGUCAUUAGACCCUUGGCUGAUAGAAAAAUGCAAGUUAGCACACUGCAGCCUCGGUGUCGUCAGUACUGCACGUCACUCUCUCCAGCACACCGCGGCCUCGGCGUCAUCAGCACUGCACGUCGCUCUCUCCAGCACACCGCGGCCUCGGCGUCGUCAGCACUGCACGUCGCUCUCUCCAGCACACCGCGGCCUCAGCGUCAUCAGCACUGCACGUCGCUCUCUCCAGCACACCGCGGCCUCGGCGUCGUCAGCACUGCACGUCGCUCUCUCCAGCACACCGCGGCCUCGGUGUUGUCAGUACUGCACGUCGCUCUCUCCAGCACACAGCACAAGCACCAUCCUAUCAAGUCCCCAGCAAGCCUUUGUCUCCUUGCAGUCAGCUCCUCUCUUGCUGGCCUGCCUGUUGCCUCCUUGCUGUGUAUUUUCCUACUUUCUCUAAUUUGCCUUUUUUUUUUAUUUUUGAGAUGAAAUUUUGCCUCAGCCUCCCAA